UCCACACGUGCAAGUGUCGAUGCCUCUACUCUACGCUCCUCUAGCUAAGCUUGCUCAAUCUGUUUCCUCGGCAAGUAAGUAGUAACAGCCAUGCAACUUGAAGCAUUUUUUCCAGGAGCAGAUCAGAGCUGCAAUGCUACAUGGUCGCAUGGAUGGCCUGCUGCUCAACUAAAAAGGAACGGAGGGAGUAUAUACGUAUCAUUAUCCUGCGUACCCGCAAUCUGGUGAACCCUGCCGAGGAGAAAGAUCCGGGGCAAUACUUUCCUGAGUCCAGUCGACAUCGGAAUCAAUUCGGACAGGGCGGCGCGGCGCAGGUUUAUGGGCUGCACCUACUCAAUUUUGGCCACUCGGUCGGCACUCGCCAGCAGGUUCACAUGACAUAACGUACGCCUGAGCAGCAGGUG